GCGGCAGGCUUAACACAUGCAAGUCGAGCGGGGAAUGGUAGCUUGCUACCUGACCUAGCGGCGGACGGGUGAGUAAUGCUUAGGAAUCUGCCUAUUAGNGGGGACAACAUUCCGAAAGGAAUGCUAAUACCGCAUACGCCCUACGGGGGAAAGCAGGGGAUCUUCGGACCUUGCGCUAAUAGAUGAGCCUAAGUCAGAUUAGCUAGUUGGUGGGGUAAAGGCCUACCAAGGCGACGAUCUGUAGCGGGUCUGAGAGGAUGAUCCGCCACACUGGGACUGAGACACGGCCCAGACUCCUACGGGAGGCAGCAGUGGGGAAUAUUGCACAAUGAGGAAACUCUGAUGCAGCAACGCCGCGUGGAGGAUGACACAUUUCGGUGCGUAAACUCCUUUUAUAUGAGAAGAUAAUGACGGUAUCAUAUGAAUAAGCACCGGCUAACUCCGUGCCAGCAGCCGCGGUAAUACGGGGGGUGCAAGCGUUACUCGGAAUCACUGGGCGUAAAGAGCAUGUAGGCUG
rnacentral:rRNA from 1 species